rnacentral:rRNA from 1 species
UACAGAGGUCCCAAGCGUUGUUCGGAUUCACUGGGCGUAAAGGGUGCGUAGGUGGCGUGGUAAGUUUGAUGUGAAAGCUCAGGGCUUAACCCUGAAAUGGCAUUGAAUACUACUGUGCUGGAGGUUUGGAGGGGGACUGGAAUUCUUGGUGUAGCAGUGAAAUGCGUAGAUAUCAAGAGGAACACCAGUGGCGAAGGCGAGUCCCUGGACAACACCUGACACUGAGGCACGAAAGCUAGGGGAGCAAACAGG